rnacentral:rRNA from 1 species
UACGUAGGGGGCAAGCGUUGUCCGGAAUCAUUGGGCGUAAAGAGCGUGUAGGCGGUCCGGUCAGUCGGUUGUGAAAGUCAAGGGCUCAACCCUUGAAUGCCGGCCGAUACUGCCGGGCUAGAGUCCGGAAGAGGUUAGUGGAAUUCCUGGUGUAGCGGUGAAAUGCGCAGAUAUCAGGAAGAACACCCGUGGCUAAGGCGGCUCUCUAGUACGGUACUGACGCUGAGACGCGAAAGCGUGGGGAGCGAACAGG